rnacentral:rRNA from 1 species
AGGGAAGGCGGGGGGCAGGCCUAACACAUGCAAGUCGAACGGUAACAGGAAACAGCUUGCUGUUUCGCUGACGAGUGGCGGACGGGUGAGUAAUGUCUGGGAAACUGCCUGAUGGAGGGGGAUAACUACUGGAAACGGUAGCUAAUACCGCAUAACGUCGCAAGACCAAAGAGGGGGACCUUCGGGCCUCUUGCCAUCGGAUGUGCCCAGAUGGGAUUAGCUAGUAGGUGGGGUAACGGCUCACCUAGGCGACGAUCCCUAGCUGGUCUGAGAGGAUGACCAGCCACACUGGAACUGAGACACGGUCCAGACUCCUACGGGAGGCAGCAGUGGGGAAUAUUGCACAAUGGGCGCAAGCCUGAUGCAGCCAUGCCGCGUGUAUGAAGAAGGCCUUCGGGUUGUAAAGUACUUUCAGCGGGGAUGAAGGGAGUAAAGUUAAUACCUUUGCUCAUUGACGUUACCCGCAGAAGAAGCACCGGCUAACUCCGUG